CAGGGGCUAAGAGGAUGGAUCCUCAUUGUGCCACAAUAUGAGAUACUCUACGUAAUCUGUUUAUACAAUUUAAAAAUUUAUUAGUUCAAACAUAUCAAUAUAUAUAUAAAUUUAUUAAAUAAUAUUUUAAGUUAUUAUCGUGAUUUGUCGAGAUCUAAGAUCUAAGUAAUCAUCAGUCCUCCUAGACUGGUCUGUAGCCUCCCAUAUCUGUAGCUGUCCUGAUGC
rnacentral:lncRNA from 1 species